rnacentral:rRNA from 1 species
UACAUGGGGUGCAAACGUUGCUCGGAAUUAUUGGGCGUAAAGCGCACGUAGGCGGUUUGUUAAGUCGGAUGUGAAGCCCUUGGCUCAACUGAGGAAGUGCAUCCGAAACUGGCAGGCUAGAGUACUAAAGAGGAUCGCGGAAUUCCCGGUGUAGAGGUGAAAUUCGUAGAUAUUCGCAAGAACACCAGUGGCGAAGGCGGCUU